GGUAGCGUGGCCGAGUGGUCUAAGGCGCUGGUUUUAGGCACCAGUCUCUUUGGGUUCGAAUCCCACCGCUGCCA